rnacentral:lncRNA from 1 species
UUCUUGCCAUGUCAUGGUGUAUGAUGUGCACAAAUUAUACCUAUCUAGUUUUGAAUUUAUAACCUAACGAACUUAACUAGCUAGAAUGCACGUAGGCAGUGUACCUAGUCGAAUUAAAGAAUAGUCUAGGUAAGUUGGGUGUCGAUCACGGGGAACGGUAUUUAAUUAAUAAAAUAACUACUAAAAGCUAAACUAAGAAAGACAACUAAAAUGAGGGUUUUAUCUAAUUUUACAAGUUCAGAAAAACUUAAAUUAAAAUAACAAACUAAUGACUAAAGUAAACAACUAGAAAGACGAUUUCAAAUCAAGAAUAAUGGAUACUUUCGUUUAGCUUCGAACCCUUCCUGUUUCCUAUGGUUGAUUUCAAGACAAUGGAUUAAUUCUGCUAGCUACCAAAUAAUAGUUACUAGUCAUCAUGAUCAUACUAACUAGCAUAAGUCAAUUUAACAACUUUAAACCUAAUGAUCAUGCAAGUUAAGGACACUAAAUUGAUUUUAAAGGUAAUUUGGACUUUGAAUGAUAUAAUCUACAGACUACUAUUCUUCUGUUAAGUCUAGUAAUUGAGAAAAUAUUAUGAUCAAAUACUGCUGUUUAACACAAUUAAGCAACUAACUUAUCACCUAUACUAGGAUCUGGUCAAUCUCUAGCUCUAGCAAUUUAAUGGUCAUAAACAACUAGGUAAACCAAGUUCAUGCAACUAACUGUAUUUUAACUACACAAAACUUGAGACAAGGCAAUAAAGAUAGAAACUUUAACAAUCUAGGUGUAGAUUUAUCAAACAAUAUUUAAAGCAAAAACCAGCUUCAUCAAUCCAUAAAACAAGAAACCAAAUAAUAGUUACUAGUCAUCAUGAUCAUACUUACAAUGGAUUAAUUAUGGGUUGGGUCCAAUGUACGGGCUAGACCCAAUAAUAUGUAUGGUAUAUGGUAUUUUGGGGAACUCACUAAGCUUUGUGCUUACAGUUAUGUGUUUAUGGUACUGCCUGUUGCAACGUGAAGGGUCUGGCGUGACUGUACAACAUCCCCUAGUGUUUUCCACAUUGGCUAUUAUGACAUUUACUAUGAUCAUAAAAUGAUUUAAUUACUAUAACUGGAUUUUGGGACAAAUCAAUUGGAUGGUUUAAAUGUUUUUAAAAUGAAACUUUUACUCAAAAAUUUUGGGAUCUUACACCUUACUUCACAAGCUUCACCAAAAUCAAGAAACCAAUCUCAAGAUCAAGCCACCAAGCUCUUUAUCAUGGGAAGGGGAUAUGGUUUCGAAAUGAAGAGAUCAAUGUUGAUGGAGGUGAACUAAUACAAGAAUUAUGGUGGUUGAAUAUGGGAUAAACCCUAAAAAUCAUGGGCUUGGGAUACAAGAGCCACCACGUCAUUGUGUCCUUCUUGCCAUCUCAUGGUAUAUGAUGUGCACAAAUUAUACUUAUCUAGUUUUGAAUUUAUAACCUAACGAACUUAACUAGCUAGAAUGCACGUAGGCAGUGUACCUAGUCGAAUUAAAGAAUCGUCUAGGUAAGUUGGGUGUCGAUCACGGGGAACGGUAUUUAAUUAAUAAAAUAACUACUAAAAGCUAAACUAAGAAAGACAACUAAAAUGAGGGUUUUAUCUAAUUUUACAAGUUCAGAAAAACUUAAAUUAAAAUAACAAACUAAUGACUAAAGUAAACAACUAGAAAGACGAUUUCAAAUCAAGAAUAAUGGAUACUUUCGUUUAGCUUCGAACCCUUCCUGUUUCCUAUGGUUGAUUUCAAGACAAUGGAUUAAUUCUGCUAGCUACCAAAUAAUAGUUACUAGUCAUCAUGAUCAUACUAACUAGCAUAAGUCAAUUUAACAACUUUAAACCUAAUGAUCAUGCAAGUUAAGGAUACUAAAUUGAUUUUAAAGGUAAUUUGGACUUUGAAUGAUAUAAUCUACAGACUACUAUUCUUCUGUUAAGUCUAGUAAUUGAGAAAAUAUUAUGAUCAAAUACUGCUCUUUAACACAAUUAAGCAACUAACUUAUCACCUAUACUAGGAUAUGGUCAAUCUCUAGCUCUAGCAAUUUAAUGGUCAUAAACAACUAGGUAAACCAAGUUCAUGCAACUAACUGUAUUUUAACUACACAAAACUUGAGACAAGGCAGUAAAGAUAGAAACUUUAACAAUCUAGGUGUAGAUUUAUCAAACAAUAUUUAAAGCAAAAACCAGCUUCAUCAAUCCAUNAAUAGUUACUAGUCAUCAUUAUCAUACUUACAUUGGAUUAAUUAUGGGUUGGGUCCAAUGUACAGGCUAGACCCAAUAAUAUGUAUGGUAUAUGGUAUUUUGAGGAACUCACUAAGCUUUGUGCUUACAUUUAUGUGUUUAUGGUACUGCCUGUUGCAACGGGAAGGGUCUGGCGUGACUGUACAACAUCCCCUAGUGUUUUCCACAUUGGCUAUUAUGACAUUUACUAUGAUCAUAAAAUGAUUUAAUUACUAUAACUGGAUUUUGGGACAAAUCAAUUGGAUGGUUUAAAUGUUUUUAAAAUGAAACUUUUACUAAAAAAUUUUGGGAUCUUACACCUUACUUCACAAGCUUCACCAAAAUCAAGAAACCAAUCUCAAGAUCAAGUCACCAAGCUCUUUAUCAUGGGAAGGGGUUAUGGUUUCGAAAUGAAGAGAUAGAGGUUGAAGGAGGUGAAGUAAUACAAGAAUUAUGGUGGUUGAAUAUGGGCUAAACCCUAAAAAUCAUGGGGUUGGGAUACAACAACCACCACGUCUUUGCGUCCUUCUUGCGAUGUCAUGGUGUAUGAUGUGCACAAAUUAUACCUAUCUAGUUUUGAAUUGAUAACCUAACGAACUUAACUAGCUAGAAUGCACGUAGGCAGUGUACCUAGUCGAAUUAAAGAAUCGUCUAGGUAAGUUGGGUGUCGAUCACGGGGAAUGGUAUUUAAUUAAUAAAAUAACUAGUAAAAGGUAAACUAAGAAAGACAACUAAAAUGAGGGUUUUAUCUAAUUUUACAAGUUCAGAAAAACUUAAAUUAAAAUAACAAACUAAUGACUAAAGUAAACAACUAGAAAGACGAUUUCAAAUCAAGAAUAAUGGAUACUUUCGUUUAGCUUCGAACCCUUCCUGUUUCCUAUGGUUGAUUUCAAGACAAUGGAUUAAUUCUGCUAGCUACCAAAUAAUAGUUACUAGUCAUCAUGAUCAUACUAACUAGCAUAAGUUAAUUAACAACUUUAAACCUAAUGAUCAUGCAAGUUAAGGACACUAAAUUGAUUUUAAAGGUAAUUUGGACUUUGAAUGAUAUAAUCUACAGACUACUAUUCUUCUGUUAAGUCUAGUAAUUGAGAAAAUAUUAUGAUCAAAUACUGCACUUUAACACAAUUAAGCAACUAACUUAUCACCUAUACUAGGAUAUGGUCAAUCUCUAGCUCUAGCAAUUUAAUGGUCAUAAACAACUAGGUAAACCAAGUUCAUGCAACUAACUGUAUUUUAACUACACAAAACUUGAGACAAGGCAAUAAAGAUAGAAACUUUAACAAUCUAGGUGUAGAUUUAUCAAACAAUAUUUAAAGCAAAAACCAGCUUCAUCAAUCCAUAAAACAAGAAACCAAAUAAUAGUUACUAGUCAUCAUGAUCAUACUUACAAUGGAUUAAUUAUGGGUUGGGUCCAAUGUACGGGCUAGACCCAAUAAUAUGUAUGGUAUAUGGUAUUUUGGGGAACUCAUUAAGCUUCGUGCUUACAGUAAUGUGUUGAUGGUACUGCCUGUUCCAAUGGGAAGGGUCUGGCGUGACUGUACAGCAUCCCCUAGUGUUUUUCACAUUGGCUAUUAUGACAUUUACUAUGAUCAUAAAAUGAUUUAAUUACUAUAACUGGAUUUUGGGACAAAUCAAUUCGAUGGUUUAAAUGUUUUUAAAAUGAAACUUUUACUCAAAAAUUUUGGGAUCUUACACCUUACUUCACAAGCUUCACCAAAAUCAAGAAACCAAUCUCAAGAUCAAGCCACCAAGCUCUUUAUCAUGGGAAGGGGAUAUGGUUUCGAAAUGAAGAGAUAGAUGUUGAAGGAG